rnacentral:rRNA from 1 species
AACGAACGCUGGCGGCAUGCCUAACACAUGCAAGUCGAACGAGACCUUCGGGUCUAGUGGCGCACGGGUGCGUAACGCGUGGGAAUCUGCCCUUGGGUUCGGAAUAACAGUUGGAAACGACUGCUAAUACCGGAUGAUGACGUAAGUCCAAAGAUUUAUCGCCCAAGGAUGAGCCCGCGUAGGAUUAGCUAGUUGGUGAGGUAAAGGCUCACCAAGGCGACGAUCCUUAGCUGGUCUGAGAGGAUGAUCAGCCACACUGGGACUGAGACACGGCCCAGACUCCUACGGGAGGCAGCAGUGGGGAAUAUUGGACAAUGGGCGAAAGCCUGAUCCAGCAAUGCCGCGUGAGUGAUGAAGGCCGUAGGGUUGUAAAGCUCUUUUACCCGGGAUGAUAAUGACAGUACCGGGAGAAUAAGCUCCGGCUAACUCCGUG